rnacentral:rRNA from 1 species
GAUGAACGCUGGCGGCGUGCUUAACACAUGCAAGUCGAACGGUGAAAGAGAGCUUGCUCUCUGGAUCAGUGGCGAACGGGUGAGUAACACGUGAGCAAUCUGCCCCUGACUCUGGGAUAAGCGCUGGAAACGGCGUCUAAUACCGGAUACGAGCUGCGAAGGCAUCUUCAGCAGCUGGAAAGAAUUUCGGUCAGGGAUGAGCUCGCGGCCUAUCAGCUAGUUGGUGAGGUAACGGCUCACCAAGGCGUCGACGGGUAGCCGGCCUGAGAGGGGGACCGGCCACACUGGGACUGAGACACGGCCCAGACUGCUACGGGGGGCAGCAGUGGGGAAUAUUGCACAGUGGGCGAAAGCCUGAUGCAGCAACGCCGCGUGAGGGACGACGGCCUUCGGGUUGUAAACCUCUUUUAGCAGGGAAGAAGCGAAAGUGACGGUACCUGCAGAAAAAGCACCGGCUAACUACGUGCCAGCCGCCGCCGUAAUAC